rnacentral:misc_RNA from 1 species
GACAAUUCUCAGAAAUGUGACGUGAAUAAUAAAAGAGACAAUCUUCCAUAUCAAGUGUUUAAGAUGGUUUAAGGAACGUGUGUAACAAAAUAAAAGAUGUUUGAUUACAAGUUGCAAGUGAUAUUUUGUCUUUAAAGUGGAAGAACUUGUGGAGAAAAUUGUAUAUGUUUAUACGAAUCUUACAUCGUGAUAUUUUCGUCUCUCCAGUUUUAAAGGCAAAAACUACGGAUGAUAGACUUCUUAUAAUAUCUACUUGAUCAUAUCACUUCACAAUUACCUGCAAUGGAUCCUAAUGGAAGUUCUGAGAAGUGUUCAUGUGAGGAUACUGAAUCUCCUCAAUCCAGCAACGAAAAGAACGACUCGGAAAUCGUAGCAACCCCAGCAACCUCACCUUCCCCAAGAAGAUCUAAAUUAAGUCUUUCAGCUCUAGGUUUGAAUAUUCGUAAGGGGCGCUCCCUAAACUUUACUCUGAAACGGUCUAAAAAACAACCGUCUUCGAACUUUCCACUUUCAUUUUCCACAUUCAAAAAAUCAUCGAAAUGGGUUACAAAGCUUAAUUGUUCGAAGAAAACUCCAAAAGAACCUGAAAGCCAGUCUUGCUGUCAAUGCACCUGCUACCGCAAAACAGAAGACCAUCCAUUGGGGGCGGGUGUUGUGUUUUCAAACCAAGAAGAAGCCAGCAGCAGCAGUAGUAGUAGUAGUAAUAGUAGCAGUACUAGUAGUAAUAGCGGUAGUGGUGGUACCAUCCCAAGUGAAACUGGGGAGUGCAGUAAAAAUGUAUUACCGGAAAACAGUAAUGCAACUAGAGAAGAAGAAACACCUUAUGGAAGUUGUGCUUCCAGUGUAGUACCAAAUAAUCACAAUCCUGCUUCUCAGCAGAGAUCUGGUAAUGAAGAAGGAUCAGGACUUGUACUUCAUAGGGAUCUGUACAGUGGAUCAACUGGAAAUAUAAUUGUACCUCCACCGUUUAUUGAUAUGCACUGGUUGCACACAUUUCACGACUGUGAUGAAACUGCUCGGCUGCAAAGGGCGCGAGAAAUCGAGCAGGGUGUGGAAAUACCCGUCUCAUCGAGACAACCGCCACGUCGAGUACAACUUGUGUGCUCAGAUGUAGAGGGUGACAACGGGCAGACGCCAAGGCGUUUGCAACUAGUAUGUCCCCCUGAUCUGACUGUUGACUCCCUUCGUGCUCUCUUUCACACGCACAUUAUGCUACGCACCUGUCCCAUAGACACAAUCACUGGGUGCCACACACAAGUGGACUUUAUACAUUGUCUUGUGCCUGACCUGUUAGAUGUUACAAACUGUAGCUUUUAUUGGGGGAAAAUGGACAGAUACGAAGCAGAGCGUCUUCUGGACGGUAAACCCGAGGGAACUUUUCUUCUCCGAGAUUCAGCUCAAGAGGAGUUUCUUUUCAGCGUUUCAUUUCGGAAGUAUGGAAGAUCGUUGCAUGCGCGAAUCGAGCAGUGGAAUCACAAGUUCAGUUUCGAUUCUCACGAUCCAGGAGUCUAUACUUCGGAAACUGUUUGCGACUUAAUCAAACAUUACAAGGACCCCAGCACGUGCAUGUUCUUCGAGCCGAUGCUAACGUGGCCCUUGCAUCGAAAUUUUGUCUUCCCCUUGCAGCAUCUGUGCCGUGCUACCAUCGUCAAUCGCAUUACGUAUGAUGACGUCAACCAACUACAGUUGCCCAAAUGUCUUAAAGCGUAUCUAAAGGAGUACCAUUAUAGGCAGAAGGUGCGCGUGGAACGAUUCGAUGAUGAUGUACAAUGGCUCGAUUUGCGGAACUUGCAGGUCUAAGUAAAUAUUUUAAAUGAUAAUUAUUAUACAUUCAUGAAUAAUAUCAAUCGAAUGAUCGUUUAUUGGUUUUACUUUUUGUUUUUGUUUCUAUUGUUAAUUAAUAUUUAGCCUGGCAAAUUUCGUUUUAUAAAGUAUGCCAUGGUUACAAACAACAAGUGAAUAUUAUUAAAAACAACUGCAACAACUUCUGUACUUUUACCAAUAAAGAAUCAUCUUCAAGGCAUUGCUCCAUUUGUAAAUUUUGAAGCAUUGUUGUCGGCUGAAAGUAUAUGAGAAGAUUUUCAUGGCCGAUGUUACCUCAAGGGGGCUCAGUAUUUGGUCUUAUGGCCGGGAGUGUAGAAUCAUUUGCUGAGUUGUGCUGAGGCUAAGAGAUUAUGAGACACUAAGUCUUAUCACAACUGUAGUCGACUCAUCGAAGGAGGAAAACCAACCAAUGUUGAAUCAUAAAUAUCGAGUCCUCUUCAAACAUUAAAUCAGUCCGAUUAUAAUUGUGUACUUAAUGUUUUUUUAAUUGCUGCUUAUUACAUGAUGUGAAUUUAUGCAAAUGGGCAGCUUUUAUUAGCCAGUAUUAAUUCUGUUGAUACCUGCAAUAUUUGCAAUAGUAGAUUAUUGGAAACGUAUAAUGUUUCCUUUUUUUUACAAUUGAUUAUCUACAUUUUAAUACAAUUAUAACGGAAUUUACUUUGUGUAUUUUUUUAUUUCAACUUAAACGAAUUAGUACAUGUUAAGGUGUAAUUUGUUUUAUUUAAACAUCUUUAAGUUAAUGUGUUUUUUGCCUAUUGUAGUGUUAAUGCAUUUUUUGCAGUAAAAAAGUUGUUGAAAUGGAUUGACU